GAAAUGCGAUACUUGGUGUGAAUUGCAGAAUCCCGUGAACCAUCGAGUCUUUGAACGCAAGUUGCGCCCGAAGCCAUUAGGCCGAGGGCACGUCUGCCUGGGUGUCACACGUCGUUGCCCCAACGCCAAAACGCGCCGCGUGCGCUCCGCGGCACUUGGGGUGGAUGCUGGCUUCCCGUGAGCUGUGACCCACGGUUGGCUGAAAUACGAGACCGUGGUAGGGCUUACCAUGACGCAUGGUGGAUGAGUAAUGCUCGAGACCAGUUGUGGGAAAACUCUGUCGCGUACGGGCUCUAGAAACCCACAUGUGUUUAGCUACACUCACAAUGAGACCUCAGGUCAGGCGGGGCUACCCGCUGAGUUUAAAGCAUAUCAAUAAGCGGAGGAAAAAGAAACUAACAAGGAUUCCCCUAGU
rnacentral:rRNA from 1 species